UACGUUUUCUCUUUUAGCUUAUGCCCAAUUAGUUUGUGAUAGAAAACUAGAUCAUCACGUAGUACUGACUUUUGAGAACAAAAUGUUUUCAGAGAGCAUUUGUUUUUGGAAAUACCUGAUAUAACCUGAUUUAGGUUGUACAUAACAUAAAUACAUAAUCAAUCAUUUGGUCUCAUUUUGUAGGUAUUGAUUACUUGUCAGUUGCUGCUGCAUAUGGUUUCCGAAACACGUAAAAGAACAUGCAGCUUAUUCGCAAGCCGGUCUGCAGUCAAUUCGCAGCCGGUAUGCAGCUUAUUCGCAACCUGUUCGGAGCUGGUACGCAGGCCUGUUUGCAGCCGGUAUGCAGCCGGUUAUGCAGGCCGGUACGUAGCUUAUUCGUAGACUGCUCGCAGCCUGUUCACAGCCGGUACGCAGGCAUGUCCGCAGCCGGUCAGCAGACCUGUUCGCGGCCGGUCUGAGUUGUCAAACAUGUGAUGUUUAUACGGUUCAGAACUAAACACGAGUUCAACCGUGAGCUUGCUGCAAUCUCUGAGCUAACAAGCCGAGCACGAGCUUCAGAAAAACAUGAGGAGCCGAGCUCGAGCCCAGUCGAGCUCGGGCUCGACCCGGCUCGUUUACAUCCCUAAAGUUCAAUUUGCAGAUAGUUCAGGUUGUUUGUUGCAAGAUGGCUCUUCUCCAAAAAGAAAUGUAUACUUACUUUAUUCAGAGCAUUAUUCUAGUGAAAUGUUCGUCAUAUCAUAUCAUGGUCUAAAAACUAAACAUCAUGGUGGCUGUUGGGUGUAAAUAAUAGUUUUUGUUAUCUGAGUUAAGUUGUUGGUCUUUUACAUUUAUUUUUUUCAUUGUAUUACAGAAUCUAUACAAAUCGUUUCUAUAUUUUGAGUCUUUGAUCCAAUAUAGGAUUCAUAGAGGUUAUACAUGUAA